rnacentral:tRNA from 1 species
GCGGGCGUGGCGGAACUGGCAGACGCGCCAGACUUAGGAUCUGGUGGGUUCGCGACCCAUGGGGGUUCAAGUCCCCCCGCCCGCACCA